rnacentral:rRNA from 1 species
CAGCAGCCGCGGGAAUACGAAGGGUGCAAGCGUUACUCGGAAUUACUGGGCGUAAAGCGUGUGUAGGUGGUUGUUUAAGUCUGUCGUGAAAGCCCUGGGCUCAACCUGGGAAUUGCGAUGGAUACUGGGCGACUAGAGUGCGGUAGAGGAUAGGGGAAUUUCCGGUGUAGCAGUGAAAUGCGUAGAGAUCGGAAGGAACAUCUGUGGCGAAGGCGACUAUCUGGGCCAACACUGACACUGAGACACGAAAGCGUGGGGAGCAAACAGGAUUAGAUACCCCAGUAGUCCCUGUCUCUUAUAC